CGCGUAGGCCGUCUAGUAAGUCGGAUGUGAAAGCCCUGGGCUCAACCCAGGAAGUGCAUCUGAAACUGCUAGACUUGAGUACGGGAGAGGGAAGUGGAAUUCCUGGUGUAGGGGUGAAAUCCGUAGAUAUCAGGAGGAACACCGGUGGCGAAGGCGACUUCCUGGACCGAUACUGACGCUGAGGCGCGAAAGCGUGGGGAGCAAACAGGAUUAGAUACCCUGGUAGUCCACGCUGUAAACGGUGGGCACUAGGUGUAGCGGGUAUUGACCCCCGCUGUGCCGUAGCUAACGCAUUAAGUGCCCCGCCUGGGGAUUACGGCCGCAAGGUUGAA
rnacentral:rRNA from 1 species